rnacentral:rRNA from 1 species
AUNAUGGCUGAGGAUGAACGCUGGCGGCGUGCUUAACACNUGCAAGUCGAACGAUGAUCUCCAGCUUGCUGGGGGGAUUAGUGGCGAACGGGUGAGUAACACGUGAGUAACCUGCCCUUGACUCUGGGAUAAGCCUGGGAAACUGGGUCUAAUACCGGAUAUGACCAUCUGGCGCAUGUCAUGGUGGUGGAAAGCUUUUUUGUGGUUUUGGAUGGACUCGCGGCCUAUCAGCUUGUUGGUGGGGUAAUGGCCUACCAAGGCGACGACGGGUAGCCGGCCUGAGAGGGUGACCGGCCACACUGGGACUGAGACACGGCCCAGACUCCUACGGGAGGCAGCAGUGGGGAAUAUUGCACAAUGGGCGCAAGCCUGAUGCAGCGACGCCGCGUGAGGGAUGACGGCCUUCGGGUUGUAAACCUCUUUCAGUAGGGAAGAAGCGUAAGUGACGGUACCUGCAGAAGAAGCGCCGGCUAACUACGUGCCAGCAGCCGCGGUAAUACGUAGGGCGCAAGCGUUAUCCGGAAUUAUUGGGCGUAAAGAGCUCGUAGGCGGUUUGUCGCGUCUGCUGUGAAAGACCGGGGCUCAACUCCGGUUCUGCAGUGGGUACGGGCAGACUAGAGUGCA